rnacentral:lncRNA from 1 species
GAAUGGGCAAGCUAUGAAGCUAUUGUUGGAAUUGAGCAUUUUAUUGGGUUGCAAGCAAAAAAAUAAUUGUUAUAAGCUUGGAGAGUAUUACAAAAUCAGAAAUACCGCAAUGUGUAUUACAAAUGGUGUCACUGGAUGCCAAUGACCACAUUCGUAAAACAGACACAUUAAAUGAAAAUAACAUUUUCUGGAAAUGUUUCGAUCUAGCCAUGAAACGUUAAGGAAGACAACUUUGUCAUUUAUAAAUGAUAGAUGAUUAAAUUGUGAUGUCAAACAAUUUUCGAAUUCACAAUUUUUUACUUUAUUUAUGCUGGGAUAUCUAAAUUAGUG